GUGGAGGCAGGAAGCAGAGGAAGCUCUGGCUUGGUGGCUUCUGGCUUUUAGCUUGGAAGCAGGAACGAGGCUAAUCUCUAGAGAGUGGGUAAGGAGCUGAUAAUCAAGAAGCUUCGUAGGAAACAGAUGCUGGGAAGGCCCCUGAGGGGACUGAAAGGGGGAGCUGCCGCUGGAGAGGGAUGUUCUAGGCAACACCAAGGACCGAAUACCUGACAGAAGCCAUCUAAAGACUCUGAAGGCCUGGGCAGCUCCUGAGGCCAACCCACCCACCUGGAUGAGUGACAGCUGCUCAAGACAGCCUACCCACCUGGAUGAAUGACAGCUGCUCAAGACAGCCCAUCCACCUGGAUGAAUGACAGCAGCUCAAGACAGCCCACCUACCUGGAUGAGUGACAGCCGCUCAAAACAGCCUCGGGCACUCCUGGAUAAGUUGCCAGAUAGGAUCCUGCCUCAGGGCUCCUUCCUCAGGGUCAUGGUGAAGAACUGUAUAGGAGCUUAGUCACGCAAGUGCUUCAAGCCUGUAGCUACCUGGAUACACUGUGUGCACAAAGGGGGCUGAGAUUGUAUCAAGUGCUCAUAAGGAAGCCCUCCAUCCCCAUAAGGAGCUGAAGGGAGAUGUGAACCUACCAAUCCUCUACCUUGACAAAGAGAAACCUCCCUGUGAGGGUUUCACUGCAGAAGGAAAGGUACCUUGGAGGACUGGAGCUAAGAACACCACAAUGUCACACCAUG
rnacentral:sRNA from 1 species